GAGAAAAGAAAAUAAAAAUAGCCCAUCCAGCAGCACGACCUGCCUGCAAUCCUGCAGCGCGCCGCCGCCUCCUGCCCGCCCCGCCUCACGGCGCGCCGUCGGCCACCCCCUCCGCCGAGCGCCGCCACCGCCUACCCGCCUCCCAUCUCGGUCCCCGAGCGCCCGACCCGGCCGUCGUUCGUCGCCAGCACCUGCGGAUCCGGCUGACCCUCGCCUUCCCCGUCUGUUGCACCUCCUAGCGCCGCCACCCCACCCCUGCCAUGCUCUGCCGCCUGGAUCCACAUCCCCACAACCGGAAAGGGUCCUCCUCGAGGAGCUGCGCAUCCUCUGCCUGCUCCAACGCUGUACACAUCCUCUGCUUGGUUGACUCCCACCGCCUACGAUCGUUGCUGCCGUCUGAUCAGGAACAUGCAGGUUUGUAUUGUUUCCAGUGUAUGUUGGUCAUGCAUCGGAUGUCACUCGGUUUCUAGGAAUUUCAAGAUGGCAUCAAAGAAACCAACAAACAAGGAGAGAAAACUUAAACAAGAGAGAUGUAUGAGGAUGCCGGUGUCUCGUCAAACAUGUAGGCUCCGUUCGGUUUACAGGGAAAAGCAAAGGAAUCAAGAUCCUGUAGUUUUUCUCCCCUUCGAUGCGUUCGGAACACAGGAAAUGGGAACAGUAAAUUUAGGGAAAGGUGGGCCCAUCCACACGGUUCCAGAGGAAUAGAAACAUCUGCCUCAAUCUCAUUUUUCUGGCGUAGACUUGAGCAAGAGUGAAGCUCAGUUAAUAAACAAUGUUUCCUUGCAUGUGGCAUGUACGACACCACACAUUUGUUCUAUUUUUUUAAUCGGCCCAACUAUCAGUUUCCUAUGGUUCUUGCCCCUUUGAACCGAACACCGUCUUUUCGUUUCUAUCCUUCAUUUUCUACUCCUUGGUUUUACCCCAACAAUCCUAUGCCUUCAAUGAUUCCCGUCGUUUUCUUUCCCUCCAUACCGAACGGGGCCGUAUUGUGUGAGGACACCCUUCGUCCGACCUAAUAUUGACGAUCAUCCGCAGGUACACACAUACAUGUUCUUCCCUGCCGCCUCUUGGUUUAGUUCACAUGUCUUGAAUUACUUUGAUCCUUUUGGUAACUUGGUUUGACCUCUGUGAGGAAUCUACAGCAGCACUUCAAAACUCCCAGGUUGCUUUCAUCAGCAAGCUUACAGCUGCCACAUGGUGGAACUCAAUAAUACAACACUAUACGAUGCACCUGAGAUUCCAAUGGAUACCUGUCGAAGCGAUGUGGUCAUCAGCAUGUAUGCUCUCAAGCUCCUGGUAGAGCAUUUUCCCUUAAACGAUGCUAUUGUCACAUGAUGCAUAUCAUGGUUCUGUUGGUUGGUAAUUUGACCUGCACAACACUUGCUGAUAUUAUCCUUUCCAGGAUGCAGAAUGAUUCUUCAAUUUGGGGUGCCAACUAUGCUAGCUUUAUAUUGCUGAAUGUAGGAGCUUAUUAUUUUCUUGUUAUAUUAGUUAUUCAAUGAUAUUGGGCAGGGAAUCUGAAUGAACUAUUCUUUCUGAUUCCUGGAGUUACAUGUGUGAUUGCUUAGACUCUUCUAAUUCUGUCAUAGUCUGGUUGGUUGCUUGGCUGAAAUAGUUUCUUACGGGCCUCCUUCUGGACCUAUUCCCACUUAUAUAGAAUAUAUUUUCCACUGGUUUCGUCAAACAAAAAAGUCAUAUACAUUAAAUAUUUAAAGUUUUGUCUUGUUCAUACUUUCUAAAGUCUGAAAUUGUACUGAAAUCAGCAUAGAAAUUUCGCAAGUAAGAAUAUUAAAGGUACCCGUGUCAUUCAUCCCUACUAGAUGAUAAAUGCUACUGCUAUUUUUUUCUCAAAGAUGCCUCAUUUUCAUUAAGAAGAAAGCUCAAUAGACCAAAAUUCCAUAUCAUUUCUUCUUUCUUAAGGAAAACUGACUACAGGUAGCAAUCACAUGUUCAGCCUAUUUUUAGUUGACAAUAUACUGAAUAAUUUGACAGUGAACAAGCACAGAACAUGCUCUCAAGAAGCGAUAGUUUUGAACCUGAAUUUAUAAAAGAAAAUGAACCAAUUCGUGUUGAAAAUAUCUUAGGCAGCAAAUCCACCAGGUUUGAGAUGUUCACAGAAACAUGUCAGUUUCAGGAAACUAUAAUUCAGAAUUGUCUAUCUAAUCCAUCAGUAAGCAAGCAGAGGCCAUGUUGUCAAGGAACAGAGUUCAAAAACCAUCAAUCUCAGGAACACUCUGACCAUGUAUUUGAUUCUGUUGAAUACCCAAUAUAUGAUAAGAUGCUAUUUUCAUUUGCUAGGCAACCAUGAAAAAGUUUCAGCCCAAUUCAUAAUUUAAAUUAGUCCUGUGUGUUCUUUUAUUCAGUUAUUCUAAUUUUACUCCUGUGUGUUCUUUUAUUUAGUUCUGUGAGGAAGAAGAAGGGAUUACAUCGAUGUGUAAUAUAUUCUUUGUUCUGCAACCAUACCUACAUGGGAUUAUAGUUCAGUUAGAAAUCUGAGUUUAUUUUCCUCCGGAAAUGAGCAUUAGCCCUCAGAACAGAAACGAACCACACAACUAUCCUCCUACUUAAUUAUUAGUCUGUAUGUUCAUUAUUACAGUAAGUUCAAAAACUGCAUUUGUGUAUUUGUACCAAGCUUUCUUGCUCAUCUCAUUCUGUACGUACCAUUUUGUAUGUCGGAAAGCAAUGGUUUCUAUAUAGAGCUAUAGUUCAUCUAUAUGUUUCUGCUAUAUAUUAUUGAUGUGUUUCCCUCACCUGCUAUUUGAAUGACAUAAUCCUUCAGAUCUUUCCCAAGUUUGGUGUUAAAGCUAACAAGACUCCUCCUUCCUGUAAAUACAACUUUGAACGAAGGAAAGCAAGACAGGGCCGCCUUUAUAUCUUGGAUCACUCCAUAGCAGGGAGCAAGAGUGGGCACAUCCGAGUUUAGAUAUUCAGUCACCGUUUUGCAAUCCAUCUCAAGCUCCACGGGUCCUCUGAAAACUUUUGCCAGAGCAUGCAGCCGAACCAGGGUUGCCCGGGCCUUCAGCUUCCUCCACACUAUUGGAAAAUGGUAACUGAUAGUAUGUCGACAGAUAAACUUAGCCUCUGUAAUCCCUGGCUACAGCCCCCGCCCAUCCCAGCCACUGAUCUGCUAAAAACUUGCGUCGGUGUUCAACUACGCCGAGCCCUGUUCGGGCGGUGGACUACUGUAUGGGUGGCAGUGAAAGAGGUAUUUAUGUGGUAAAGGACGGGGUCAGUUGUUCCUUUCCCUUCUCUGAACUCAUCUUUUCCAUCGCAUUGCCCAACUCUUCCUCGUACUUCUGCCGGAAGCUGACAGAGUGCAGAACAUAUUCUUUUCCUUCACAGACUACUACAACGCACAGGCAUCUUCACGAAGAGAACAUAGGGAUUUUAAGUUUUGUAUAGCCUGCACUGGAGGCUGUAGAGUUAAGUUUUUGUACAUUUUGCGAAUCGUUUUGUUCUAGAUUCUCUUAGUGUAUAUAGUCUAACUAUAGAAGAUUAUUUACUAUCUGCAAAUUUGCUUUUUUUUUCCAUUGCUGAUCAUGUCCUCUCUGUGCACUUGCAUCCUUCUGUUAACAGUUUAGUGAUCUAAUGAGUAUUCAGAAGGGACGCUGCAUGUUCCUAGAUGCAUAGCUUUUCUUAUAUAGAUUUUCAUUACAAUGUUUUUUUUGUCGAAUUCUCACAAUGAAAUCCGAACAAACCAUACCUUUAGAGGCCAACAUAAUGGCACUUAAAAUAAAUGCUAAUUUGCACUCACGCUGCAAUCUGGUGCCCAUUCUUCUGGUGAUUUGGUCAAAUCUACAACCAAGCAAAGAUAUUUUACAUGCUAUAAGAACUAAGUUAUGGAUUUUGUGUUCCCAUGUCUAUAAUAUGUGUGCUCUGUCGGUUCCCUGCAAGCUCUUUCGGCCAUGACCUCAAGUUCUGCAGCUAGGCUGUGAAUGUGUUGGUCCUUCUCACCGUCCACCGAUGAUGGUGCCCAAGAUAAGUGAUGGAAGGAGAAAAGGAUGUUGCUGUCGCGCGGUCGUCGGAACGACUUGCCGUGGACGUGGCCAUGCACUGGAUGCCAUCGACGACUAGCCUCCGCAAAAUACGAAUGCAUGGGAUUCUGCUACAAACAUUGGGGAGUGUGUACUGUUGCGGUGCUGUGACAUAUACACUCUGUGGAAGAAACCCCUGUUUGAUUUACAGGUGAUGCUGAUUCGUCUGGAAUCUACUUUUGAUAGAUCAAUCUAGUUUGUUGGCUGCUGUGUGGCUUCAUGUGACGCUGCAGUGCACUACGGAGAGGUACAGGUCCCCAGAACUACAUGUAUGUACCGAAUUGUUUCAUCUGUCGAUUUUGACGUUCAAUAUUGACUCCUUGAUCCCGUUUCUUAGGGGUCAUGAUUGGCAAUUGGUCGUGGGCAAUGAACUAAAAUGUCUAUUAAAUGUUCAUGGAUAUCUUAAAAGGAGAACAGUUCAGACUUUAGAUGUACAUUAUAUUUGAUGCAUCAGUCUAAUCUGUACUUCAAAUUACAGUGUAUGAUUUGUUUGGACACUACAUAUAUAUUUGAUGGAGCCGUCUAAGUUAGACUAUUGGACAUGAAAUUACAGUGUACAAUUUCCAUCCAACUUACUAAUUCAAUUUUACUUAUUUUUAUAAACUCUUUAAUAAUAAUUAAACAACAUAAUAAUCUAGAAAAUAUUUUCCGAAGGAUGUUUUUUACAUCUUCCUAUAUCAUUUUGAUGUGAGAUGGGUUGUAAA